rnacentral:rRNA from 1 species
AAUCAACGCUGGCGGCGUGCCUAACACAUGCAAGUCGCACGAGAAAGGGGAGCAAUCCCUGAGUAAAGUGGCGCACGGGUGAGUAACACGUGACUAACCUACCCUCGAGUGGGGAAUAACCUAGAGAAAUCUGGGCUAAUACCGCAUAACACUUACGAGUCAAAGCAGCAAUGCGCUUGAGGAGGGGGUCGCGGCAGAUUAGCUAGUUGGCGGGGUAAUGGCCCACCAAGGCAAUGAUCUGUAUCCGGCCUGAGAGGGCGCACGGACACACUGGAACUGAAACACGGUCCAGACUCCUACGGGAGGCAGCAGUGGGGAAUUUUGCGCAAUGGGGGAAACCCUGACGCAGCAACGCCGCGUGGAGGAUGAAAUCCCUUGGGAUGUAAACUCCUUUCGAUAGGGAAGAUAAUGACGGUACCUAUAGAAGAA